AGUGAACGCUGGCGGUAGGCCUAACACAUGCAAGUCGAACGGCAGCACAGUAGGAGCUUGCUCUUACGGGUGGCGAGUGGCGGACGGGUGAGGAAUACAUCGGAAUCUACUUUUUCGUGGGGGAUAACGUAGGGAAACUUACGCUAAUACCGCAUACGACCUACGGGUGAAAGCAGGGGAUCUUCGGACCUUGCGCGAUUGAAUGAGCCGAUGUCGGAUUAGCUAGUUGGCGGGGUAAAGGCCCACCAAGGCGACGACCCGUAGCUGGUCUGAGAGGAUGAUCAGCCACACUGGAACUGAGACACGGUCCAGACUCCUACGGGAGGCAGCAGUGGGGAAUAUUGGACAAAGGGCGCAAGCCUGAUCCAGCCAUACCGCGUGGGUGAAGAAGGCCUUCGGGUUGUAAAGCCCUUUUGUUGGGAAAGAAAAGCAGCAGGUUAAUACCCCGCUGUUCUGACGGUACCCAAAGAAUAAGCACCGGCUAACUUCGUG
rnacentral:rRNA from 1 species